CCAAAGGCUCUUUUCAGAGCCACCCACAGUUUCUUAUGAAAUAGCU
rfam:Neotoma lepida isolate 417 scaffold_786, whole genome shotgun sequence.